rnacentral:rRNA from 1 species
GACGAACGUUGGCGGCGUGCUUAAUACAUGCAAGUCAACUGAAGCAGUGGUAGUAAUAUCGCUGUGGAGGUGGCGCACGGGGGAGUAAAACGUAGGUAAUCUGCCUUCAGGUCUGGCAUAACUCCGGGAAACCGGGGCUAAUAGCAGAUGAUGCAGCGGCUCGACAUCGAGACAGUUGUUAAAGCUAUGGCGCCUGAAGAUGAGCCUGCGUCUGAUUUGCUAGUUGGCGGGGUAACGGCCCACCAAGGCAACGAUCAGUAGCUGGUCUGAGAGGAUGAUCGGCCACACUGGAACUGAGACACGGUCCAGACUCCUACGGGAGGCAGCAGGAAGGAAUAUUGCUCAAUGGGAGAAAUCCUGAAGCGGCAACGCCGCGUGAGGGACGAAGGGCUUUUGCUUGUAAACCUCUGUAGAGAGAGAAAAAAAUCCCAAUCUUUGGGACAUGAUGGUAUCUCAAAAGUAAGCCCCGGCUAACUACGUG